rnacentral:rRNA from 1 species
GAUGAACGCUAGCGGCAGGCUUAAUACAUGCAAGUCGAGGGGCAGCGCGGGUAGCAAUACCUGGCGGCGACCGGCAAACGGGUGCGGAACACGUACGCAACUUUCCUUCGAGUGGGGAAUAGCCCAGGGAAACUUGGAUUAAUACCCCGUAAUAUUAUGAAGUGGCAUCACUUUAUAAUUAUAGUUACGACGCUUGAAGAUGGGCGUGCGGCUGAUUAGGUAGUUGGCGGGGUAACGGCCCACCAAGCCUACGAUCAGUAACUGGUGUGAGAGCACGACCAGUCACACGGGCACUGAGACACGGGCCCGACUCCUACGGGAGGCAGCAGUAAGGAAUAUUGGUCAAUGGACGCAAGUCUGAACCAGCCAUGCCGCGUGGAGGAUGAAGGUCCUCUGGAUUGUAAACUUCUUUUAUAUGGACGAAAAAGGGCCUUUCCAGGUCAACUGACGGUACCAUAUGAAUAAGCACCGGCUAACUCCGUGCCAGCCGCCGCCGUAAU